UCUAGAACCGAUAACCCCCGUUCAACCUCACCUUUCCUUGUCUCUCCCGCCUAUAUACCGCCGUCGUCAGCUUACCCUGUGAAGGUAAAUAGUAAGCA
rnacentral:rRNA from 1 species